rnacentral:rRNA from 1 species
CGGCGGCGGGUGGAGUAACGCGUGGGUAACCGUGCCUCAUACAGGGGGAUAACAGUUGGAAACGGCUGCUAAUACCGCAUAAGCGCACAGUGCCGCAUGGUACGGUGUGAAAAACUCCGGUGGUAUGAGAUGGACCCGCGUCUGAUUAGGUAGUUGGUGGGGUAACGGCCUACCAAGCCGACGAUCAGUAGCCGACCUGAGAGGGUGACCGGCCACAUUGGGACUGAGACACGGCCCAA